rnacentral:misc_RNA from 1 species
AUGGAUAACGAAAACAACUCGGAUUCCUUCUCUUAUUAUGUAACAUUUGCUCAGCGAGUUGCUCAAUUUGGGUUUUUUGCAACUACGACUUCAUGUACUGUUCUUAUUCUCUUAACAAUUUAUGGCGUAAAACGGGAUUUCGGAAGUUAUAAAAAUCUAUUGUUAAUGUUUGCUGGGCUAGGAAUUGUAUUUGCAACCACUGAAGUUCUGUUGUUCCCGAAUUUACACUCCUACAACGCUGGAUACUUUUUCUACAGUAUGGAGCGCCCAUUCAGAUUAGACACUAAAAAUGUCUCCCGCUUCCUUGUAAUUUAUACAGGCCUCUAUGGAUCGACAAUUUGUUUGCUCUCUGUCCAAUUUGUCUAUCGAUAUUGGGCAGUUUUUAGUGAAUCAAAACUGAAAUUUUUCAAAGGUUGGAGGUUCAUAUUUUGUAUCAUGUAUUGCGCAGCUUUUGGAGCAGAUUGGGGAUUGUCAAUUUAUUAUUUUGAUGAAAUGGAUGCCUACGCUGAUCAUUAUUUCAGAGCCGAAAUGCAUAAAAGAUAUCGCCUAAACAUUAGCGAGGUUGCGUGCUUUUCCCUGGUUGCCUACAACUUUGAUAAUACCCCUAGAUGGCGUAACAUAUUAUGCACAAUUUCUCUAUUUUGUAUUAUGCUCAUUCAAUACACGAUAAUAAUCUAUUGUGCGACAAUUAUGUAUCUGAAAAUGGAAGAAAAACUGAAAUUAUUAUCCGUCUCAAUAAGAAAUCUACACAGACAAUUCUAUAAAACAUUGGUAAUCCAAAUAUUCACUCCGACCAUUUGCCUAUUUUCUCCCUUGAUUUUUAUAAUUUUUCAUCCACUUUUCAACGUGGAAAUUGUUGUGCCAACUGGAAUGCUGUUAUGUGCAAUCACGAUAUAUCCAGCGGUGGAUGCAAUUAUCAUUAUAGAACUUCAAAAAAGUGCAGCAGAAGCUCUUGUCUCAACGAGGAAUGUCAACGAUUUUGAUAAGAACAACUCAAUCUGUUUGA